GACGAACGCUGGCGGCGUGCCUAACACAUGCAAGUCGAACGAGGUCCAUGAGAGCUUGCUCUCAGAAGACCUAGUGGCGAACGGGUGAGUAACACGUGAGAAACCUGCCUCGGAGUGGGGAAUAACUCGGGGAAACUCGAGCUAAUACCGCAUAUCUUCACAUGAUCGCAUGGUCGAGUGAAGAAAGAAUUUCGCUCUGAGAGGGUCUCGCGGCCUAUCAGCUUGUUGGUGGGGUAACGGCCCACCAAGGCAACGACGGGUAGCUGGUUUGAGAGAACGAUCAGCCACACUGGGACUGAGACACGGCCCAGACUCCUACGGGAGGCAGCAGUGGGGAAUCUUGCGCAAUGGGCGAAAGCCUGACGCAGCAACGCCGCGUGCGGGAUGACGGCCUUCGUGGUUGUAAACCGCUUUCAGCAGGGACGAAAAUAGACGGUACCUGCAGAAGAAGACCCCGGCGUAACUACGUGCCAGCAGCCGCGGUAA
rnacentral:rRNA from 1 species